rnacentral:rRNA from 1 species
AGUGAACGCUGGCGGUAGGCCUAACACAUGCAAGUCGAACGGCAGCACAGUAAGAGCUUGCUCUUACGGGUGGCGAGUGGCGGACGGGUGAGGAAUACAUCGGAAUCUACUUUUUCGUGGGGGAUAACGUAGGGAAACUUACGCUAAUACCGCAUACGACCUACGGGUGAAAGCAGGGGAUCUUCGGACCUUGCGCGCUAGAAUGAGCCGAUGUCGGAUUAUCUAGUUGGCGGGGUAAAGGCCCACCAAGGCGACGAUCCGUAGCUGGUCUGAGAGGAUGAUCAGCCACACUGGAACUGAGACACGGUCCAGACUCCUCCGGGAGGCAGCAGUGGGGAAUAUUGGACAAUGGGCGCAAGCCUGAUCCAGCCCUACCGCGUGGGUGAAGAGGGCCUUCGGGUUGUAAAGCCCUUUUGUUGGGAAAGAAGAGCAGCAGGUUAAUACCCCGCUGUUCUGACGGUACCCAAAGAAUAAGCACCGGCUAACUUCGUG